rnacentral:rRNA from 1 species
UACAGAGGUCUCGAGCGUUAGGCGGAAUCACUGGGCUUAAAGCGUGUGUAGGCGGAUCGGUAAGUACCUUGUGAAAUCCCACAGCUUAACUGUGGAACUGCUUGGUAUACUGCCAGUCUUGAGCCAGCUAGGGGCUACCGGAACAAAUGGUGGAGCGGUGAAAUGCGUAGAUAUCAUUUGGAACGCCAAAGGCGAAAGCAGGCUGCUGGGAGUGAUCUGACACUGAGACGCGAAAGCCAGGGGAGCAAACGGG